rnacentral:misc_RNA from 1 species
GAUGAAGAACGCAGCGAAAUGCGAUAAGUAGUGUGAAUUGCAGAAUUCAGUGAAUCAUCGAAUCUUUGAACGCACAUUGCGCCCCAUGGUAUUCCGUGGGGCAUGCCUAUUCGAGCGUCAUUUACCCCCUCAAGCUCCGCUUGGUGUUGGGCGUCUGUCCCGCUUCGCGCGCGGACUCGCCCCAAAGGUAUUGGCAGCGGUCGUGCCAGCUUCUCGCGCAGCACAUUGCGCUUCUCGAGGCACCGGUGGGCCCGCGUCCAUCAAGCUCACCCCCCCAGUUUGACCUCGGAUCAGGUAGGGAUACCCGCUGAACUUAAGCAUAUCAAUAAGCGGAGGA